rnacentral:rRNA from 2 species
UUACACAUGCAAGUCGAACGAUGAACCUGGAGCUUGCUCUAGGGGAUUAGUGGCGAACGGGUGAGUAACACGUGAGUAACCUGCCCUUGACUCUGGGAUAACCUCCGGAAACGGAAGCUAAUACCGGAUAUGACGCACGGAGGCAUCUCCUGUGCGUGGAAAGAAUUUCGGUCAAGGAUGGACUCGCGGCCUAUCAGGUAGUUGGUGAGGUAACGGCCCACCAAGCCUACGACGGGUAGCCGGCCUGAGAGGGUGACCGGCCACACUGGGACUGAGACACGGCCCAGACUCCUACGGGAGGCAGCAGUGGGGAAUAUUGCACAAUGGGCGAAAGCCUGAUGCAGCAACGCCGCGUGAGGGACGACGGCCUUCGGGUUGUAAACCUCUUUUAGUAGGGAAGAAGCGAAAGUGACGGUACCUGCAGAAAAAGCACCGGCUAACUACGUGCCAGCAGCCGCGGUAAUACGUAGGGUGCGAGCGUUGUCCGGAAUUAUUGGGCGUAAAGAGCUCGUAGGCGGUCUGUCGCGUCUGCUGUGAAAUCCCGAGGCUCAACCUCGGGCCUGCAGUGGGUACGGGCAGACUAGAGUGCGGUAGGGGAGAAUGGAAUUCCUGGUGUAGCGGUGGAAUGCGCAGAUAUCAGGAGGAACACCGAUGGCGAAGGCAGUUCUCUGGGCCGUAACUGACGCUGAGGAGCGAAAGCGUGGGGAGCGAACAGGAUUAGAUACCCUGGUAGUCCACGCCGUAAACGUUGGGCGCUAGAUGUGGGGACCAUUCCACGGUUUCCGUGUCGCAGCUAACGCAUUAAGCGCCCCGCCUGGGGAGUACGGCCGCAAGGCUAAAACUCAAGGAAU